rnacentral:rRNA from 1 species
UCAAGCUACAAAGGGCGCAAGGAGAAUGCCUUGGCACUGGGAGCCGAUGAAAGACGUGGUAAGCUGCGAUAAGCUUCGGGGAGGAGCAAACAUCCUUUGAUCCGGAGAUUUCUGAAUGAGGAAACUCACCAGAGUUCAUACUCUGGUAUCCUGUACUGAAUCCAUAGGUACAGGAGGGGAACCGCCUGAACUGAAACAUCUAAGUAGGGCGAGGAAGAGACAUCAAACGAGAUUCCGUUAGUAGUGGCGAGCGAACGCGGAAGAGGGCAAACCGGAAGGAGAAAUCCUUCCGGGGUAUGGACCGCAUUUAGGACUUUAGCUGUUAAUCGAAUGGCAUGGGAAGGCCAACCAAAGAGUGUGAGAGUCACGUAGAUGAAAACGGCGAGAGCUGCGCGAGUUCCGGAGUACGGCCAGACACGUGAAACCUGGUCGGAAGAUGGGGGGACCACCCUCCAACCCUAAAUACUACCCAGUGACCGAUAGCGUAUAGUACUGUGAAGGAAAGGUGAAAAGGACCCCGGGAGGGGAGUGAAAUAGAACCUGAAACCUUGUGCCUACAAGCACAUAGAGCACAUCAACGUGUGAUAUGGUACUUUUUGUAGAACGGUCCGGCGAGCGAUUGUAUGUUGCGAGCUUAAGGUCUUAAGGACUGGAGGCGCAGCGAGAGCGAGUCUGAAUAGGGCGUUCAGUAACAUGCAAUGGGCCCGAAACCGGGUGACCUACCCAUGAUCAGGCUGAAGUGAAAGUAAAAUUUCAUGGAGGGCCGAACCGACCUCCGUUGAAAAGGCGGCGGAUGAAUUGUGGGUAGCGGAGAAAUUCCAAUCGAACUCGGAGAUAGCUGGUUCUCCCCGAAAUAGCUUUAGGGCUAGCCUCAUAUUAGAUACCCGGAGGUAAAGCACUGAAUGGCCUAGCGCCCGAGAGGGUAGCGAAGCCUAUCAAACUAAGAAUGCCGGAGUAUUGAUGUAUGGGAGUCAGACAGUGUGAGAUAAAUCUCAUUGUCAAAAGGGAAACAGCCCAGAUCUACAGCUAAGGUCCCAAAUUGUAUCUAAGUGGAAAACGAUGUGGAAAUACGCAGACAACCAGGAUGUUGGCUCAGAAGCAGCCACUCAUUUAAAGAGUGCGUAAUAGCUCACUGGUCGAGCGUCUCUGCGCGGAAAAUUUAACGGGGCUAAGAUACAAACCGAAGCUUAGGCUGCACGAAAGUGCGGGGUAGGGGAGCGUUGUGUAAGCGGAGAAACAGUAGCGUAAGCGGCUGUGGAGUUUACAGAAGUGAGAAUGCCGGAAUGAGUAGCGCGAAUGUGGUGAGAAUCCACAUGGCCGGAAACCUCAGGUUUUUGGAGGAAGGUUCGUCCGCUCCAAGUUAGGCGGGAGCUAAGGUCAGGCCGAAAGGCGUAGCCGAUGCACAGACGGUAGAGAUUCCGUCCCCACCGAAAGAUUUAAGCACAGGGACACUUUUUGAAGGUCGGAGCCAGGUGUUGGUUCUGGUAGUGAUCGAGGGAAAUAUAGUACCGAAGUCCGGCUGGAAGAGAGGCGAGAAAAGCUGUGUGUAUAUCUAAGGUGCCCGUACCGCAAACCGACACAGGUAGGUAGGAAGAAGAUUCUAAGGCCAACGGGAGAAGGGUUGUUAAGGAACUCGGCAAGUUGACCCCGUAACUUCGGAAUAAGGGGUGCUCACGAGAGUGAGCCGCAGAGAAUAGGCCCAGGCAACUGUUUACCAAAAACACAGGUUUGUGCUAAAUCGAAAGAUGACGUAUACGAGCUGACGCCUGCCCGGUGCUGGAAGGUUAAAAGGAGAUGUGCAAGCAUUGAAUUGAAGCCCCAGUGAACGGCGGCCGUAACUAUAACGGUCCUAAGGUAGCGAAAUUCCUUGUCAGGUAAGUUCUGACCCGCAUGAAAGGCGUAAUGAUCUGGGCACUGUCUCAACAGCCCGCCCGGCGAAAUUGUAGUACCGGUGAAGAUGCCGGUUACCCGCGACAA